AUACCCUUUACUUCUCUCUGUUGCCUGAUUGCCCUGGCCAGAACCUCCAACAUUUAAUCCAUCUUGAGUUGAUUUUAGUAUAUGGUGAAGGAAGGGGUCCAGUUUCAGUCUUCUGCAUGUGUCUAGCCAGUUAUCUCAGCACAGACCACUCACAGAAAGACAAACACAGCAUGACCUCAUUUAUAUGUGAAAUCUAAUAAAGUCAACUUCAUAGAAGCUGACAGCAGAAUGGUGGUUGCUAGGCGCUAGAAGAAGAGGGGGAAUGAAAAGAGGUGGUCAACUGGUACAAAGUUUCAGUUAGAGAGGAUAUAUAAGUUCUGAAGAUCUAUUGUAUAACAUGAUAAUGAUGGUUAAUAAUAAUGAAUUUUAAACUGAAAAAUGCUAAGAGAGUAGAUCUUAAAUACUCUCAACAUGAAAAAAAUAACCAUGUGAAGUAAUGAACAUAUUAACUAAUUGGUUGUGGCAAACAUUUGGCAAUGUAUAUGUAUAUCAAAACAUCAUUUUUACACCAUAAAUAAAUGUGAUUUUACAUGUAAAACUGGCUAUAAAACAACAAACACAAACAUGAUCUCACAUGUGAAUUUUUUAAGCCAAAUUUAUCAAAGAGAGUAGAAUGGUGAUUUGUAGAGGCUGGGGUUAGAAAAAAUAGAGACAUGUUGGUCAAAGAGUACAAAGUCGGGGUUUUGUGGGACGAAUAAUUCUGGAGAUCUAAUGUGCAGCAUGCUAACUAUACUUAAUUCUGUAUUAUAAACUUGAAAUAUGCUAAGAGAGUUGACCUUAAGUGUUUCCAUCAAACACAAAAAGGAAACCUUAACUCUGAGUUGAUGAAUACGCUGAUUAGCUUGAUUGUGGUACUCUUUUCACCAUGUAUACAUAUAUCAAAAUGUCACUUCGUAUACCUUAAAUAUGCACAAGUAUUAUUCGUCAAGUAUACCUCAAUAAAUCUGGGGGGAAAAUAGGGGGUAGAAAUCCAGUAUGAUAAAGAAUGAAUGUACACUUUGAUAGUGAAACAAGUGGGGAAAAAGUAUUCUUUUUAAAAGAUGAGAUGAUAAGGCUAAUAGUCAGGUAGGCAUAUACUUUUACUGUGACAUAAUAAGGAAGAUGAAUUUUGUUCUCUAUCUAUCUUCUACACACACACAUAUUUGUAGACAUAUAUAUCUGCAUAUAUAUAAUAUUGACACUAUAUAUAUAGAGAGAGAGACUAAAUAGCAGAUGGCCUGCAAAGAUUCAAAAAUAUAUAAAUACGUGGGGGGUGGGGGCAGUGCCAAUUACUCCCAGCAAAAACAGCAAACUAUGCCUUUCAGAGUACCUUUGAAUAAAAUUCCAGAACAAUAAAUCCAUACAAAUGGGCUAUCUUGAUCUUCAUAAUAAAGAAAAAGAUGAGCUCGUUUUCUG
rnacentral:lncRNA from 1 species